rnacentral:rRNA from 1 species
AACGAACGCUGGCGGCGUGCCUAACACAUGCAAGUCGAGCGAGAAAGUCCCGGCAACGGGAUGAGUACAGCGGCGAACGGGUGAGUAACGCGUGGGUGAUCUACCCUCCAGCUCGGGAUAACCUGCCGAAAGGUGGGCUAAUACCGGAUGAUGUUCCCGUGGGGAUCCUGCGGGAAGCAAAGGGGGCGAGCGUAAGCAGCUCUCACUGGAGGAGGAGCCUGCGUCCGAUUAGCUAGUUGGUGGGGUAAUGGCCUACCAAGGCGACGAUCGGUAGCCGGCCUGAGAGGGCGACCGGCCACACUGGAACUGAGACACGGUCCAGACUCCUACGGGAGGCAGCAGUGGGGAAUCUUGCGCAAUGGGCGAAAGCCUGACGCAGCGACGCCGCGUGGGCGAUGAAGGCCUUCGGGUCGUAAAGCCCUGUCGGGUGGGACGAAUCUCCUGGUGGCGAAUAACCACCGGGCUUGACGGUACCACCGAAGGAAGCCCCGGCUAACUACGUGCCAGCAGCCGCCGUAA